CGGUUAUCGGCCUUUUUCGGAGCGAUCGAGUGUGUGGGAAGAAUCCAACACCAUGGAGCCGGAAACAGUGACUGUGUUUGUGGGUGUGUUGCCCAUGAGGACUGGGGUAAACGACAGGGUCCAACACAGUGGAGCCAGCAGCAGUGACCUUGUGGAUAUGUUGUCAAUGUGGACUGUAAUAAACAGGGUGAUGUCCAGCAAAAACGUGAAGCCAGAUAUGCUUGGACGCACUUCAAAACUGUUCACAAGAAAUGUUUGAGGAAAUUACUAUUUGAUGAAAAUACAGCUUUAUUGGUGGCAGAUCUCUACAAAAGCUCUUAAGCUUCAUAUUCUUAUGAUCCUUGUAGAAACCAGUUUCUGUAAAAGGAUGGAUUUCCUGACAAUCAGUGAAAAUAAACUGAUGGACAAGAUUACACUUAAUACAUGUUUACUGUCACAAUUAAAGUCAGCAAUGAGCUAACAGACAACUGAUACAACAGACUAAAUGGGUCUAAGAGGAUGGAGUUAAUGGGUUAUGAAUGAAAUUACUAUGGGGUGAUGACCAGUAAUAUGGAGCUUGACUUCACCUGUAGCUGAUCAAUAACUGAGGAAGGAAUUAAAUCAGAAUAGUGCACCUUGCCAUGGAAUCCAGCAAGCUCUGGGUGGAUGUGUCUGAAUGAUUUGCCCACUGGUAGGCAAAAAAUGUGAGCCAUUGGGGAUGCUGCAAGUGAUGUUCCCAAGUGGCAGGGAAUUGAAAGACUGGUCAACCUGGAAAAUUAAAAGCAAGCAAGCAACCAGCACUCAUUAUGCUAUUUACACCACUUUCAAUUUUUUUGGAAAAGAACCCCAAAGCCCAAAACAUCAAGACUUGCCUGUUCCUCUGCUACCUGACCUGUGCUCUUCCCUCACCACCCUUUUCAACUCUUGACUACUCUAGCAUCUGCAGUCUGCACUUUCUCUGGUUUUCAGUAAGUUAAAUCUUACUGAUGAAAGAUGAGUUGUGGACCAAACACUGCCUUUUGCUGGCAGGCGAAGCCACCUGGAGAAGAGAAGUCACUGAAAAAACAGUCUCAACAACCAAUAGAUUACAGCAAACUGCACAAGGGGAUAUUGUAUUACCUUCCCAGAUUUUUCCCUUCACCUGCACCACCAAUGUUCUAGUGUCUGAGUGCAAGGAUGGAGUUGAGGUGUUAACUAAUUGUUUACUUGAAGCUAGAAUCAUCUUCUAAGUGGUAACCCUUGAGUACCAAAACUUGGUCUAAAAGAUCAGUACAAUGUAUUCCACUAUUAACCAGUGAAGCAUAAAAAUAAAAUGGAUAUGUGCAAAUCA